CGCCCUAAACGAUGUCAACUAGUUGUUGGGGAUUCAUUUCCUUAGUAACGUAGCUAACGCGUGAAGUUGACCGCCUGGGGAGUACGGUCGCAAGAUUAAAACUCAAAGGAAUUGACGGGGACCCGCACAAGCGGUGGAUGAUGUGGAUUAAUUCGAUGCAACGCGAAAAACCUUACCUACCCUUGACAUGGUCGGAAUCCUGCUGAGAGGCGGGAGUGCUCGAAAGAGAACCGAUACACAGGUGCUGCAUGGCUGUCGUCAGCUCGUGUCGUGAGAUGUUGGGUUAAGUCCCGCAACGAGCGCAACCCUUGUCGUUAGUUGCUACGCAAGAGCACUCUAAGGAGACUGCCGGUGACAAACCGGAGGAAGGUGGGGAUGACGUCAAGUCCUCAUGGCCCUUAUGGGUAGGGCUUCACACGUCAUACAAUGGCCGGUACAGAGGGCUGCCAACCCGCGAGGGGGAGCCAAUCCCAGAAAACCGGUCGUAGUCCGGAUCGCAGUCUGCAACUCGACUGCGUGAAGUCGGAAUCG
rnacentral:rRNA from 1 species